rnacentral:rRNA from 1 species
GACGUAGGGCGCGAGCGUUGUCCGGAUUUAUUGGGCGUAAAGAGCUCGUAGGCGGUUUGUCGCGUCGUCCGUGAAAACUCACAGCUUAACUGUGAGCUUGCGGUCGAUACGGGCAGGCUAGAGUUCGGUAGGGGAGACUGGAAUUCCUGGUGUAGCGGUGAAAUGCGCAGAUAUCAGGAGGAACACCGGUGGCGAAGGCGGUUCUCUGGGCAUGUCCUGACGCUGAGGAGCGAAAGUGUGGGGAGCGAACAGG